rnacentral:rRNA from 1 species
AUGUACUCGUCGGAGACUCGUGUGUGGACCGAGCUCACCUCUGUUCAUCACCCCGAUAUCACCAAGUAUACCUAUAACCGAGGUUCGCCAAGCGUCCUUGUGGGUGAUGCACUCUACUUUGACUUGGAUGGCAUUAUCAAGUGCCAACUUGGUACACUUCGCUUGUCAAUGUUUGAGAGGCCGACCGAUGCCAAGGGGCAUGUCAUGACGGCGGAAGAUGGGGGGCUCGGAUUCGCUGCCGUGGUUGAUGUCACAAACCUGACCAUUUGGUCAAUGCAGACCGGACCAGAGGGAGCCAUGGGAUGGGCAAAACUCAGGGUAAUCGAUCUUACGACGCUGCUCCCUGACAGGGCCCUUUCGAUUCCAGCACCUGAAGAUGGAAUUAGUGGCAUCGCCGAAGGCACCCAAAUCAUUUUUGUGAGCUCAUGUGUUGGUACCUAUAUGGUCGAUCUCAAGUCAAGGCGAGUUAGGAAGCAAUGGAAGCAGCUUCUAUGGGCCAGGGGCAGUGAGCUGGUGCUUUAG